rnacentral:snRNA from 1 species
GUGCUCACUUUGGCAGUACAUACACUAAAAUUGAAACAAUACAGAGAAGAUUAGUAAUGCCCUUGUGCA